rnacentral:rRNA from 1 species
AACGCGAAGAACCUUACCUGGGCUUGAACUACAGAUGGUAAGUCGCUGGAAACAGUGGCUGACCCGCAAGGGAGUCUGCAGAGGUGCUGCAUGGUUGUCGUCAGCUCGUGUCGUGAGAUGUUGGGUUAAGUCCCGCAACGAGCGCAACCCCUAUUCGAUGUUGCUAAUCCCGUAAGGGAUGCACUCUUCGAAAACUGCCUUCGAUAAGAAGGAGGAAGGUGGGGACGACGUCAAAUCCUCAUGGCCCUUAUGUCCAGGGCUACACACGUGUUACAAUGGCCGGUACAGAGGGAAGCAAUGCCGCAAGGUGGAGCCAAACCCACAAAGCCGGCCCCAGUUCAGAUCGUGGGCUGCAACUCGCCCACGUGAAGGCGGAAUCGCUAGUAAUCGCUGAUCAGCAGGCAGCGGUGAAUACGUUCCCGGGCCUUGUACACACCGCAUAC